GUUAAGGUGGCAGAGCCCGGUAAUUGCGUAAAACUUAAGCCUUUAUAAUCAGAGAUUCAAAUCCUCUCCUUAACA
rnacentral:tRNA from 1 species